rnacentral:sRNA from 1 species
AAUGGGCAACAGCUGUAUCGGCACAUAUAUUUGGGUUGUAAAGAGGAAGACAAUGUUCAGAAAAACUAUGAACUACUUUAUACUUCUCUUGCUCUUAUAACUAUUGAACUGGCUAAUGAAGAAGUAGUUAUUGAUCUCAUUCGAUUGGCCAUUGCUUUACAGGACAGUGCAAUUAUCAAUGAGGAUAAUUUGCCAAUGUUCCAUCGUUGUGGAAUCAUGGCACUGGUUGCAGCAUACCUCAACUUUGUAAGUCAGAUGAUAGCUGUCCCUGCAUUUUGCCAGCAUGUUAGCAAGGUUAUUGAAAUUCGAACUAUGGAAGCCCCUUAUUUUCUACCAGAGCAUAUCUUCAGAGAUAAGUGCAUGCUUCCAAAAUCUUUAGAGAAGCAUGAAAAAGAUUUGUACUUUCUGACCAACAAGAUUGCAGAGUCGCUAGGUGGAAGCGGAUAUAGUGUUGAGAGAUUGUCAGUUCCGUAUGUACCGCAAGUAACAGAUGAAGAUCGACUUUCUAGAAGAAAAAGCAUUGUGGACACCGUAUCCAUUCAGGUGGAUAUUUUAUCCAACAAUGUUCCUUCUGAUGAUGUGAACAAAACAACUGAAGAUUCCCAAGUUUAAUCUGACUUCAACUAGAAAUAUGAAGCUCAGUAGCAAAACUGAGGGAGUGGAACUCUUGCUGCUUGAUUUCCAGCUAAAGCCUUUGUAUUACAGAGAAGCUAAGGUGCAGAGAAUGAAGUCUUUUGCUUUCAUUAGUCUUGCUGCCUUAGACUUAGCAA